rnacentral:lncRNA from 1 species
GGAAGUUGGAGUUAUUUCCCUGUUAUGACAACAAUCUUGCAGACUGAUCUAUAACACUGCUUGAUGAUUAACUUCAAUACAUGCAAACUUUACAAAAUAUAUUAAAAUAUGAACAUUUAAAAUUUGAACCCAUUUAAGAAAAACAAACACUGGGUAAGGCGCAGUGGCUCAUGCCUGUAAUCCCAGCACUCUGGGAGGCUGAGGCGGGCGGAUCACGAGGUCAGGAGAUCGAGACCAUCCUAGCUAACACGGUGAAACCCCAUCAAGGAAUAAUACAGUAGUUAGCUUCCUGAGUUUUUUUUGUCAUUUCUCCCAAAAGAUGCAGAAAAUCUGGAUCACUUAUAUGUGGAUAGUCGGAAUGUAAAAUAAUAUAGCCACUCUGAAAAUUUUUGGAAAUUUUUAAUU